GAAAGUCCUGAACUGUUCCAGGCUUCUUUCCCCAGUCACAGCAGUGCCUCACCCCUUCCAGACCUCCUACAGCUUUGAAAAGGCCUACCAAAGCAUCUGUAAUGUCCACCUCCAUUUCCUGCAGCGGGUCUGGAUAACUAAAAGGGGCCUUAGAAGCCAUCACGUCCAGGCACCCUGUGUGCCACAGAAGGAAAAAGUGGCCCGGAAAGGCUAAGUGACUGACCCAUGCUCACACAGGUGGCAGCUCUAAAAUAAAAACUAACAAGAUCAAAGGUUUGGAUUUGCAACAGCUGUAAACUGUCCAGUGGGACAGAGGGAAAUAGAAUACCUUUUCACAAAGAGCUUCACGACCUGAGGCAUCAAGAGGAAACUGGCCUCCGAGACUGUUGUACACAGGUGAGAUCAUCUAGAAGACCAGCAUAUCUGUUAUAUAGCACAGUGUUGACAUCCUGCAGCAUAUUAAAAGUACAUAUGCAAACGAUCUUGAUCUCUUAGUUUUGCCACAUGUCCGGUGGUUAUAUAAGGUGACAGCAUGAAGAGAAGCUGGGUGAAGAGUACAGGGCGGCUCUGUACUAGCUUUGCAGCUUUUCUGUAAAUCUAAAAUUAAAAGUUUAAGUAAUACACAGUUGAAUAUGACAGCCCAAUUUGAUUAGUAAGCUGUUGAUAAGAAGUACCUCUGUGAUGCUGAAAUCAGGUAUUUGGUGACUCCAGCCGAUCAGAGCAUAGCUAUGAAUACUGAAAUCAGAGGAAAGGUCUUUGAGCAGCUAAAAGCUCCCAUGAACUCAUAGGAAAAGCAGAGCCAUCCUCAGGCCCGCUCACAGUGGCUGCGCGUGAAGGGACUGAAAAGAGUGGAAGCUGCUGAGAAACACAGAUGGCAGCCAGCAGUGCCAGAAAGAAAACCACCAGUAAAUACACAGCUGGUUGGGGACAUUUGGUGUAGGGGCGAACAGGAUCACAUACUGCAAGGAGUGUGACUGAAUUAUAAUGCAUUUCAAUGGAGGGCAUUCACAAUGAUGUUCUUGGAUGACAAAGAAAGGUUGGAGUUAUCUUUGGCUCAGGCAGGAAAUGCUUCCUAGAAGUUUCUGUUCAUCUCUGCUCACACACCCUCCACUCAGGUGGAAAUAUAUUGCAAAAGUAAGAGCGGGG